rnacentral:sRNA from 1 species
GAGAGGGUAAUCUGGCUUUGAAGUCUGAACCCAACCUUCUCCCACACUCACACCCGCUGAUUCUGGGUUGACCGAGCACAUGGGACAGCCGAUUGGCGGAACUCUUCCUUUAUCCUCGCUCUUUGCAUUUCCCUCCUGAAGCUUCAAACUCAGCAGCAGAUGCUGCAUUUUCUUAAUAGAUAAGCCCCAUUCUGUAGUCAAGAGUAUUUGAGUACUUGUCACUUCAAGUUGAAGAAUGAAAUAAAAUAAUCAGGAAAAGGCAAACAUUUCAUUU